rnacentral:rRNA from 1 species
AUGGAGGCGGCGGAGCAGAUUGCGGUGGUGUGGAAGCAGGUCCGCGGCCCAGUUAUCGUGCCGCUGCUGCGCGCAUCCGUGAUGGUCUGCCUCGCCAUGUGCGUGAUCCUGUUCGUGGAGAAGGUGUACAUGGCCGUCGUCAUCGUGGCGAUGAGGCUGAUCGGCCGCCGCCCCGAGCGGCAGUGGCGGUGGGAGCCCCUCCGCGACGACGACCCCGAGCUCGGCAACGCCGCCUACCCCAUGGUCCUCGUCCAGAUCCCCAUGUACAAUGAACGCGAGGUUUACAAGAAGUCGAUCGGGGCGGUGUGCGGGCUGUCCUGGCCGUCGGAUCGGAUCGUCAUCCAGGUGCUGGACGACUCCACUGAACCCGCCAUCAAGGAGCUGGUGCAGGUGGAGUGCCAGCGGUGGGCGAACAAGGGUGUAAACAUCAAGUACGAGAUCCGGGACAACCGUCGCGGGUACAAGGCCGGCGCGCUCAAGGAAGGCAUGAAGCACGGCUACGUCAAGGACUGCGACUUUGUGGUCAUCUUCGACGCCGACUUCCAGCCCGAGCCGGACUACCUGAGCCGCGCCAUGCCUUUCCUCAUCCACAACCCCGAGAUCGCCCUCGUCCAGGCCCGCUGGGUAUUUGUGAAUGCAAAUGAGUGCUUGAUGACAAGGAUGCAGGAGAUGUCCUUGGACUAUCACUUCAAGGUGGAGCAAGAAGUGGGUUCCUCAGCUUAUGCCUUCUUUGGCUUCAAUGGAACCGCUGGUGUGUGGCGCAUAUCUGCUCUGAAUGAGGCAGGUGGCUGGAAGGACAGAACCACGGUCGAAGACAUGGACCUGGCUGUCCGAGCAAGCCUCAAGGGAUGGAAGUUCGUGUACCUUGGUGAUCUCAGGGUUAAAAGUGAGCUCCCAAGUACGUUCAAGGCAUUUCGGUACCAGCAACAUAGAUGGUCGUGCGGGCCUGCAAAUCUCUUCAGGAAAAUGUUGAUGGAGAUUGUCAAAAAUCAGAAAGUGACGCUUUGGAAGAAAAUCUACGUCAUCUACAACUUCUUUUUUGUGCGCAAGAUAAUCGGGCACAUUUUGACGUCUGUGUUUUACUGCCUUGUUAUCCCAGCCACAGUUUUUGUUCCUGAGGUUGAGAUACCAAGGUGGGGUUACUUCUACAUUCCUACCGUUAUCACCCUUCUCAAUGCUGUUGGGACUCCAAGGUCUUUUCACUUGGUUAUCUUUUGGGUACUGUUUGAGAAUGUCAUGUCAUUGCAUAGAACAAAGGCGACCUUCAGCGGUCUACUGGAGCUAGGGAGGGUGAAUGAGUGGGUGGUGACAGAAAAGCUUGGUGAUGUUCUGAAGAUGAAAGUACAAAGCAAAGUUACCAAGAAGCUGCGAAUGCGGAUAAGAGAAAGGUUGCAGCUUUUGGAGCUUGGUGUUGCAGCCUAUAUCUUCUUUUGUGGAAGUUAUGACCUUUUGUUUGGCAAAAGAUAUUACUAUAUCUUUCUCUUCAUGCAAUCCAUCGCUUUCUUCGUCGUCGGUGUGGGCUUUGUUGGGACACUUGUCCCCAACUGA